CAGCCGUAAACUAUGCUCGCUAGGUGUCAGGCAUGGCGCGACCGUGUCUGGUGCCGCAGGGAAGCCGUGAAGCGAGCCACCUGGGAAGUACGGCCGCAAGGCUGAAACUUAAAGGAAUUGGCGGGGGAGCACAACAACGGGUGGAGCCUGCGGUUUAAUUGGACUCAACGCCGGACAACUCACCGGGGACGGACAGCAAUAUGUAGGCCAGGCUGAAGACCUUGCCUGAAUCGCUGAGAGGAGGUGCAUGGC
rnacentral:rRNA from 1 species